CCUACGGGAGGCUGCAGUAGGGAAUCUUCCACAAUGGACGAAAGUCUGAUGGAGCAACGCCGCGUGAGUGAAGAAGGGUUUCGGCUCGUAAAGCUCUGUCGGUAGGGAAGAACGAUAGAUGUGGUAACUAGCCUUUAUUUGACGGUAAUUACUUAGAAAGUCCCGGCUAACUACGUGCCAGCAGCCGCGGUAAUACGUAGGUGGCAAGCGUUGGCCGGAUUUAUUGGGCGUAAAGCGAGUGCAGGCGGUUCAAUAAGUCUGAUGUGAAAGCCUUCGGCUCAACCGGGGAAUUGCAUCAGAAACUGUUGAACUUGAGUGCAGAAGAGGAGAGUGGAACGCCAGGUGUAGCGGUGGAAUGCGUAGAUAUAUGGAAGAACACCAGUGGCGAAGGCGGCUAUCUGGUCUGCAACUGACGCUGAGGCUCGAAAGCAUGGGUAGCGAACAGGAUUAGAUACCCUGGUAGUC
rnacentral:rRNA from 1 species